GACGAACGCUGGCGGCGUGCUUAACACAUGCAAGUCGAACGGAGUGGCGAACGGGUGAGUAACCCGUGGGUGACCUGCCCUGCACUUCGGGAUAAGCCUGGGAAACUGGGUCUAAUACCGGAUAGUGUGGGAUGGGCCCGCGGCCUAUCAGCUUGUUGGUGGGGUAAUGGCUUACCAAGGCGGCGACGGGUAGCCGGCCUGAGAGGGUGGACGGCCACAUUGGGACUGAGACACGGCCCAGAAUCCUACGGGAGGCAGCAGUGGGGAAUAUUGCACAAUUGGCGGAAGCCAGAUGCAGCGGCGCCGCGUGGGGGAUGACGGCCUUCGGGUUGUAAACACCUUUCACCGUCAACGCGGUAGAUAGAGAGAAAGCACCGGCUAACUACGUGCCAGCCGCCGCGGUAAUUC
rnacentral:rRNA from 1 species